GACGAAGAACGCAGCGAAAUGCGAUAAGUAGUGUGAAUUGCAGAAUUCAGUGAAUCAUCGAAUCUUUGAACGCACAUUGCGCCUCCUGGCAUUCCGGGAGGCAUGCCUGUUCGAGCGUCAUCAAACCCCAUCGUGCAAAUGAAUUAUUUUUUUUGCGCGGAAGUGACGAUUGAGCGAGAAUAACAAAUCCUCUCGCACCUCGUCGAAAUGAUUGCGGGCGGAAUUUGGGAUCGGGUUCCUCGGCGUAGUGUAUCAAUGCAUAUUUAUGCAACUUGCCGCGGAGUUGAGCCUGACCCACGCGUUCUCGCCGUACAAACACCUCAUUACUUUACAAGUUUUUGACCUCGGAUCAGGUAGGGAUACCCGCUGAACUUAAGCAUAUCAAUAAGCGGAGGA
rnacentral:misc_RNA from 1 species